ACACGGACUACGAGUUUGAUCAUGGCUCAGGAUGAACGCUAGCGGCAGGCCUAAUACAUGCAAGUCGAACGGAUAUAUGUUUUUCGGAAUAUAUAUUAGUGGCGCACGGGGUGAGUAACACGUACAUAACUUGCCCUCAAGCGGGGGAUAGCCUUGGGAAACUGAGAGUAAUACCCCAUAGAAUUAUUGGACGGCAUCGUUUGAUAAUUAAAACUACGGUGUUUGGGGGAUAGAUGUGCGUCUGAUUAGCUAGUUGGUGAGGUAACUGCGUCACCAAGGCGACGAUCAGUAGGGGGCGUGAGAGCGUGGCCCCCCCACACGGGUACUGAGACACGGACCCGACUCCUACGGGAGGCAGCAGUAAGGAAUAUUGGUCAAUGGAGGGAACUCUGAACCAGCCAUGCCGCGUGAAGGAUGACGGCCCUCUGGGUUGUAAACUUCUUUUGGAUGGGGCGAAAAAACGGGAUUUAUCCUGGACUGACGGUACCAUCAGAAUAAGCACCGGCUAACUCCGUG
rnacentral:rRNA from 1 species